GGCUGGUCUGAGUGCAGUGUUGUUUAUAACUAACUGAUCACAACCAGUUAUAGAUCUCUUUGUUCCUUCUCCAUUCCCACUGCUUCACUUGACUAGCUUUUA
ensembl:misc_RNA Y_RNA Y RNA